CACGUAGUUAGCCGGAGCUUCCUCUUUGGGUACCGUCAUUUUCUUCCCCAAAGACAGAGGUUUACAAUCCGAAGACCGUCUUCCCUCACGCGGCGUCGCUGCAUCAGAGUUUCCUCCAUUGUGCAAUAUCCCCCACUGCUGCCUCCCGUAGGAGUCUGGGCCGUGUCUCAGUCCCAAUGUGGCCGAUCAACCUCUCAGUCCGGCUACCGAUCGUCGCCUUGGUGGGCCGUUGCCCCACCAACUAGCUAAUCGGCCGCGAGCCCAUCUUUCAGCGGAUUGCUCCUUUGGCUGCAUCGGGAUGCCCCAUCGCAGCGUUAUGCGGUAUUAGCAGUCGUUUCCAACUGUUAUCCCCCUCUGAAAGGCAGGUUGCUCACGUGUUACUCACCCGUCCGCCACUAAGCUUAUCUCUCGUCCAUCCGAAAACUUCUGAAAUAUAAGCUCCGUUCGACUUGCAUGUGUUAGGCGCGCCGCCAGCGUUCGUCCUGAGCCAGGAUCAAACU
rnacentral:rRNA from 1 species